CUCACUUUAGCUCAGCUGGAAGAGCAUGAGACUGUAAACAGGAUAAUUCGCAAAUCUCAGGGUCGCCUGUUCGAGCCAGGCAAGUGAGA
rnacentral:tRNA from 1 species